rnacentral:rRNA from 1 species
UGAACGCUAGCGACAGGCCGAACACACUGCAAGCGAGGGGCAGCACAAGGAGCAAUCUGAGGUGGCGACCGGCGCACGGGUGAGUAACACGUAUGCAACCUGCCUGUAAGCGGGGAAUAACCCGUUGAAAGACGGACUAAUACCGCAUAAUACUAAAUUACUGCAUGGUAAUUUAUUUAAACAUUUAUGGCUUACAGAUGGGCAUGCGCAUGAUUAGCUAGUUGGAGAGGUAACGGCUCCCCAAGGCAACGAUCAUUAGGGGUUCUGAGAGGAAGGUCCCCCACACUGGUACUGAGACACGGACCAGACUCCUACAGGAGGCAGCAGUGAGGAAUAUUGGUCAAUGGACGAGAGUCUGAACCAGCCAAGUCGCGUGCAGGAAGAAUGUCCUAUGGAUUGUAAACUGCUUUUGCAGGGGAAUAAAGUGCAUCACGUGUGAUGUUUUGUAUGUACUCUGCGAAUAAGGAUCGGCUAACUCCGUGCCAGCCGCGGC